UACGUAGGGGGCGAGCGUUGUCCGGAUUUAUUGGGCGUAAAGCGCACGUAGGCGGCUCUGUAAGUCGGAUGUGAAAUCCCUCGGCUUAACCAAGGAAGUGCAUCCGAAACUGCAAGGCUUGAGUACUUAAGAGGAUCGCGGAAUUCCCGGUGUAGAGGUGAAAUUCGUAGAUAUCGGGAGGAACACCAGUGGCGAAGGCGGCGAUCUGGGAAGAUACUGACGCUGAGGUGCGAAAGCGUGGGGAGCAAACAGG
rnacentral:rRNA from 1 species